AAAUUAAUAUAAAAUA
rnacentral:tRNA from 1 species